rnacentral:rRNA from 1 species
UACGAAGGGGGCUAGCGUUGCUCGGAAUCACUGGGCGUAAAGCGCACGUAGGCGGAUUGCUAAGUCAGGGGUGAAAUCCUGGAGCUCAACUCCAGAACUGCCUUUGAUACUGGCAAUCUCGAGUCCGGGAGAGGUGAGUGGAACUGGGAGUGUAGAGGUGAAAUUCGUAGAUAUUCGCAAGAACACCAGUGGCGAAGGCGGCUCACUGGCCCGGUACUGACGCUGAGGUGCGAAAGCGUGGGGAGCAAACAGG